AUUGAACGCUGGCGGCAGGCCUAACACAUGCAAGUCGAACGAGUGGCGGACGGGUGAGUAAUGUCUGGGAAACUGCCCGAUGGAGGGGGAUAACUACUGGAAAAGGUAGAUAAUACCGCAUACCAUCGGAUGUGCCCAGGUGGGAUUAGCUAGUAGGAGGGGUAAUGGCUCACCUAGGCGACGGUCCCUAGCUGGUCUGAGAGGAUGACCAGCCACACUGGAACUGAGACACGGUCCAGAUGCCUACGGGAGGCAGCAGUGGGGAAUAUUGCACAAUGUGCGCAAGCCUGAUGCAGCAAUGCCGCGUGUAUGAAGAAGGCCUUCGGGUUGUAAAGUACUUUCAUCGGGGAGGCGUUACCCGCAGAAGAAGCCCCGGCUAACUCCGUGCCAGCAGCCGCGGUAAUAC
rnacentral:rRNA from 1 species